UACGGAGGAUCCAAGCGUUAUCCGGAUUUAUUGGGUUUAAAGGGUGCGUAGGCGGCUUUGUAAGUCAGUGGUGAAAGCCUGUCGCUUAACGACAGAACUGCCAUUGAUACUGCAGAGCUUGAAUAUGUUUGAAGUGGGCGGAAUGUGUAGUGUAGCGGUGAAAUGCUUAGAUAUUACACAGAACACCAAUUGCGAAGGCAGGUUACUACUAGUGGAUUGACGCUGAUGGACGAAAGCGUGGGGAGCGAACAGG
rnacentral:rRNA from 1 species